ensembl:lncRNA MIR99AHG mir-99a-let-7c cluster host gene
GCAGCACAUAGCACUGGCUGGUUAUAAAGGACUUGUCUAGGGGAGAGCCUAUGGAUCUGAGAACGCUGUCUGGGCUUGGUACCAAGAGCUGGUAUUUCACAGCAGCGACCGCCUCACAGACGAGCUGUGGGAAGCAGGAGGGAGACUCUCUCUUAGGGUGCCACUACUAUGGAGACACAGCUGGGCUGAACAAGAUUUGCUUCAAACGACAACAAGAGAGACAGAAAGUAUCUGGUUCAACCGCUGCCCGAGCAGGCAGGCACCAGAAGAGCUAGCAGCCAAUCCGGCCAUGCUCGAAGCCAGCUCUGCAGCUCAGCCAAUCAGUGACAUCAUUGCUUUCUUUAGCUUGCCCAUGGUGAUGUGAAGAUGAGAAGAAAUAGCAAGGCCCAACCAGUUCUUCAUCUGGAGACAGUUCAACGUUCUGCAAACCAGAUCUUCAGGAAUUUUACUGGGAUAAUUAUCCAAAUAAAUUGCAAGCAUUCUAUCCAAAUGGUAAGCAGAACAUCUUAUUAUGUAAUCAUAUUUGUUUAUCCAUAAUUAAUAUAACUUUCUGAGUAUUGAAAUGAGAAACUUGAUUUACUCUUCUUCACUCAUGUUUUAAUUUUUUUAUAAGAAAAACUAGAAUCACUAAAGAAUUUCUUUUUAUUUUAUUUAAAAAUUAUAAUCCUGAGAUGCAAAUAUAUGCCAUGUAAGCCUGGGAACUAUUUAAUCACUUUACUCUAAAAUCUGGUAAAAGGUAAAAUUUCUGAAAAUAGGUGACUGGCAAACAUUUUGUAAACAAUAUAUAAGAAGAAUUGUAUAUCAAAAUAUACACAUAAAACUAUCUUUUCAGAUAAUUAUGUAUCAUUUAUUUUCUUAUAGCGAAAUUAUAAAAAUACAACCUAUAGCCUUCCAUAGAUACAUAAUUAACUAUGUUUUGAAAUGAUAUCCAAUUCAGUACCCUCAUACAUUUGAAACUUUGAUAAGCUGGUCUAUCUUCACUUUGGGGAUCUUCUUCAUUAAGAGUUUGUUUUCUCAAGUUUUGAGGUAGGAUACAUGAAGUCAUUCUUCUUCUUUAUAAUUAUGUGGCAGGAACUAUCUCCCUGAAAACUUUAUGCUUAAGUUUUUGACAAUCACACUGUCAGUCAGAUGGUGCAAAGUCUUUUAAUACUUUUUAAUAUAAGAGAGUUGUCUAAAAUACAGAUAGUUCUCCAUCUGAGCUCAUGACCCAAGCAAUGUGCUUCAAAAUUGCAUUUAUUGUAUUUUUCUUAUUACAAAUGAUACUAUGUUCAUAAUGGAUAGAUAAAUUAGAUACACAUAAAUACAAUUAAAAAGCAUAUUCUCACCACCUAAUGUAACCUGUUAACCUUUUGUAUAAAUUGGUGAAUGGUUUCAGUAUAUGAACACACAACCUACUGUAAAAAUUCAAGAAAUGAGUGUGAUGAUGAUGUAAAAUGCAGGUUCACCUUCUCUGUCCC